AUGGACGAUAGCACUACCAAUGGAAGCCCCUCGGUGGCCGGUCUACCGACAAGCCCGCUGCUCCCGAUACGUACGCCAAGAAAGGCACCGGCGGACGACCCCACGGCGGAUGGGGAGCCGGUCACCCCUACUGCGAGACUCAUGGAACCCAUAUACAUCGUCGUCACCCUCGGCCUUGGCUGCCCCGUAAACAUCCCCGUCUUCAGCGCCGGCAUCGCCGCCCAGCUCGCCCGAUACCCGCGCUUCUGCAGCAUUCAGGUGACAGAUGAGUCCAAUGGUGGCAACCCGCGGUGGGUGCGCACGGUGGUGAACGUGGACGACCACACGAUAAUCCCGACACUGGAUCCUGCGGCCGUAGCGGCCGACCCGGACCGGGCAGUGGAGGACUACAUGGCCUCGCUGCCGGCGCUCCCCAUGGACCGCUCCCGGCCGCUCUGGGAGUUCCACUUCCUCGACUUCCCGGCCUCCGAGGCCACCUGCACCGCCGUGAUCCGCGUGCACCACUCCCUCGGCGACGGCACGACGCUCAUCGCGCUCCUCCUGGCGUCCGCGCGCAGCGCCGCCGACCCGACGCGCCUGCCGGCCAUGCCGGAGCAGCCGGCGCGCACGGGCGCCAUCUACGCGCCGCGGCCACGGUCCAAGGGGGGUGUCCUGGCGUUCGUCGCGUGGGCCUGGUCGUAUCUUGUGCUCGCGUGGAACACCGUGGUGGACGUCACCCUCUUCGCCGCGACGGUUGCGUUCCUGAGCGACCCGCACACGCCGUUCAAGUACGUGGAUCACGGCACUGCGUCCAGCUCCCGGCGGCGCUUCGUGCACCGGAGUCUUCCUUUGGAGGACGUUAAGUUCAUCAAGAACGCCAUGAACUGCACUGUCAAUGACGUGCUAGUCGGAGCGACUUCUGCUGCUCUAUCAAGAUAUUAUUUUCGCAAAUCCGGUGCCAAUAACACGAAAAUAUGUCUGCGGUCUAUCCUCCUUGUCGAUACAAGACCAACCACUAGCCUACAAACAUAUGUUGAUAUGAUAGACUCUGGUAAGAGCGACGAUGUGGACUGGGGAAAUCAACUAGGCUAUAUCCUCCUUCCAUUUCAUUUGGCGAUGCACGAUGAUCCACUCGCAUAUGUGCGCAAGGCAAAGAAGACUGUGGAUAGGAAGAAGAGCUCGCUGGAAGUUAUCUUCACAUGUAAGAUGGGUGAAUCGUUUCUCAAAAUGUUUGGUUUGAAGGCUGGCGCUUUUAUCUUUGGUCGUAUGUUUGCCAAUACAACUCUUGCGUUCUCAAACCUGGUUGGACCAACUGAACAAAUAGAGUUCUAUGGGCACCCCGUUGUCUUCAUUGCGCCUAGUGUUUAUGGAGCUCCACAAGGUCUGCUUGUUCAAUGUCAGAGUUACAAUAGCACUAUUAUGGUAAGCUUGUCCGUCGAUGAGGAAAUAAUUCCAGAUUAUAUUGAACUUAUGGAUGACUUUGUUGAGUCUUUCGGGCGCAUUAAGGAUGGGGCUUCAAGACUUUCAACAUCCAUCAAGCAAGAAUAG
rnacentral:rRNA from 1 species